rnacentral:tRNA from 1 species
AGUCCCGUAGGCGAAUAGUUUAAGCCGUCAGUUUCUCAUACUGAAAAUUGCGGGUGCAAAUUCCGUCGGGACUCCCA